rnacentral:rRNA from 1 species
GUGCCAGCAGCCGCGGUAAUACGAAGGGGGCUAGCGUUGUUCGGAUUUACUGGGCGUAAAGCGCACGUAGGCGGAUCGAUCAGUCAGGGGUGAAAUCCCAGAGCUCAACUCUGGAACUGCCUUUGAUACUGUCGAUCUGGAGUAUGGAAGAGGUGAGUGGAAUUCCGAGUGUAGAGGUGAAAUUCGUAGAUAUUCGGAGGAACACCAGUGGCGAAGGCGGCUCACUGGUCCAUUACUGACGCUGAGGUGC